rnacentral:rRNA from 1 species
GGGUUGGGGGCGGCUACCAUGCAGUCGAACGGACCCUUCGGGGUUAGUGGCGGACGGGUGAGUAACACGUGGGAACGUGCCUUUAGGUUCGGAAUAGCUCCUGGAAACGGGUGGUAAUGCCGAAUGUGCCCUUCGGGGGAAAGAUUUAUCGCCUUUAGAGCGGCCCGCGUCUGAUUAGCUAGUUGGUGGUGUAACGGACCACCAAGGCGACGAUCAGUAGCUGGUCUGAGAGGAUGAUCAGCCACAUUGGGACUGAGACACGGCCCAAACUCCUACGGGAGGCAGCAGUGGGGAAUCUUGCGCAAUGGGCGAAAGCCUGACGCAGCCAUGCCGCGUGAAUGAUGAAGGUCUUAGGAUUGUAAAAUUCUUUCACCGGGGACGAUAAUGACGGUACCCGGAGAAGAAGCCCCGGCUAACUUCGUGCCAGCAGCCGCGGUAAUACGAAGGGGGCUAGCGUUGCUCGGAAUUACUGGGCGUAAAGGGAGCGUAGGCGGACAUUUAAGUCAGGGGUGAAAUCCCGGGGCUCAACCUCGGAAUUGCCUUUGAUACUGGGUGUCUUGAGUGUGAGAGAGGUAUGUGGAACUCCGAGUGUAGAGGUGAAAUUCGUAGAUAUUCGGAAGAACACCAGUGGCGAAGGCGACAUACUGGCUCAUUACUGACGCUGAGGCUCGAAAGCGUGGGGGAGCAAACAGGAUUAGAUACCCUGGUAGUCCACGCCGUAAACGAUGAUUGCUAGUUGUUGGGGAGUUUACUUCUCGGUGACGCAGCUAACGCAUUAAGCAAUCCGCCUGGGGAGUACGGUCGCAAGAUUAAAACUCAAAGGAAUUGACGGGGGCCCGCACAAGCGGUGGAGCAUGUGGUUUAAUUCGAAGCAACGCGCAGAACCUUACCACCUUUUGACAUGCCCGGACCGCCACAGAGAUGUGCUUUCUCCUUCGGGGACUGGGACAACAGGUGCUGCAUGGCUGUCG